rfam:Camelus ferus unplaced genomic scaffold scaffold347, whole genome shotgun sequence.
GGGGGUGUAGCUCAGUGGUAGAGCACAUGCUUAGCAUGCAAGGGGUCCUGGGUGCAAUCCUCAGUGCCUCCA